UACGAAGGGGGCUAGCGUUGCUCGGAAUCACUGGGCGUAAAGCGCACGUAGGCGGAUUGUUAAGUCAGGGGUGAAAUCCUGGAGCUCAACUCCAGAACUGCCUUUGAUACUGGCGGUCUCGAGUCCGGGAGAGGUGAGUGGAACUGCGAGUGUAGAGGUGAAAUUCGUAGAUAUUCGGAAGAACACCAGUGGCGAAGGCGGCUCACUGGACUGGUAUUGACGCUGAGGUGCGAAAGCGUGGGGAGCAAACAGG
rnacentral:rRNA from 1 species